ACGAACGCUGGCGGCGUGCCUAAUACAUGCAAGUAGAACGCUGAAGGAGGAGCUUGCUCUUCUGGAUGAGUUGCGAACGGGUGAGUAACGCGUAGGUAACCUGCCUGGUAGCGGGGGAUAACUAUUGGAAACGAUAGCUAAUACCGCAUAAGAGUAGAUGUUGCAUGACAUUUACUUAAAAGGUGCAAUUGCAUCACUACCAGAUGGACCUGCGUUGUAUUAGCUAGUUGGUGGGGUAACGGCUUACCAAGGCGACGAUACAUAGCCGACCUGAGAGGGUGAUCGGCCACACUGGGACUGAGACACGGCCCAGACUCCUAUGGGAGGCAGCAGUAGGGAAUCUUCGGCAAUGGACGGAAGUCUGACCGAGCAACGCCGCGUGAGUGAAGAAGGUUUUCGGAUCGUAAAGCUCUGUUGUAAGAGAAGAACGAGUGUGAGAGUGGAAAGUUCACACUGUGACGGUAUCUUACCAGAAAGGGACGGCUAACUACGUG
rnacentral:rRNA from 1 species